rnacentral:rRNA from 14 species
GAAGCGCAUACGGUGGAUGCCUUGGCAGUCAGAGGCGAUGAAAGACGUGGUAGCCUGCGAAAAGCUUCGGGGAGUCGGCAAACAGACUGUGAUCCGGAGAUGUCUGAAUGGGGGAACCCAGCUGUCAUAAGACAGUUACCUUACACUGAAUACAUAGGUGUAUGGAGCGAACCAGGGGAACUGAAACAUCUAAGUACCCUGAGGAAAAGAAAUCAACCGAGAUUCCCUUAGUAGUGGCGAGCGAACGGGGACCAGCCCUUAAGUUGAUUUGAGAUUAGCGGAACGCUCUGGAAAGUGCGGCCAUAGUGGGUGAUAGCCCUGUACGCGAAAAUCUCUUGUCAAUGAAAUCGAGUAGGACGGGGCACGAGAAACCUUGUCUGAACAUGGGGGGACCAUCCUCCAAGGCUAAAUACUACUGACUGACCGAUAGUGAACCAGUACCGUGAGGGAAAGGCGAAAAGAACCCCGGAGAGCGGAGUGAAAUAGAUCCUGAAACCGUAUGCGUACAAGCAGUGGGAGCCCACUUUGUUGGGUGACUGCGUACCUUUUGUAUAAUGGGUCAGCGACUUACAUUCAGUGGCGAGGUUAACCGAAUAGGGAAGCCGUAGAGAAAUCGAGUCCGAACAGGGCGACAGUCGCUGGGUGUAGACCCGAAACCAGGUGAUCUACCCAUGGCCAGGAUGAAGGUGCGGUAACACGCCCUGGAGGUCCGAACCCACUAAUGUUGAAAAAUUAGGGGAUGAGCUGUGGGUAGGGGUGAAAGGCUAAACAAA